GAAGACGUUUCUGACACAAAACCCCAGGGGAAUCCACGGAGGAGCUGGGCUGUCAUUACUUAUUAACGGUGGGCCUGAUCCCCAGCCAGGCUGGCCCAGGGAAAUAGCCUGUAGGGAGGCCGGCCUCGCUGCUACCAGGUGGAUUAACACUUUCAGGGCGGGAGGGAGCUGCUUGGGGGGGGGUCAAUUGUCACAUUGUUGCAUGUAAGAGGGGCCAUUCUUUACACAUUAGACACAGGCGCCUUCUUCCUCUGCGUUCCCUCCCCCUCGGCGUCUGCAUUCUUCUCUUCCCUUCUCCUCCUGCCCGCUCUGGUUUUAAGCCAGCAAACCCACAGGAUGUGGGAGACUGCGCUCGCUCACAGGGAAGAGGAAGAUCUGAGAAAGCACACGGCCCGGAACCUGGGGAUGAUGUCUUCGGAGAGGGCCCGAGGAGGCGGGGAGAGGGAGAGGCAGCGGAGCCGCAGCGGGAGCCGGUACAUCCCGGUUGCAGACCGGGAAAGGUUGGAUUCACAAACUGGAGCCUGUUGUCUUGGGGUUGGGGGAAGUUAAAAAAAAAACCUCAGCUCUCCGAAGUGUCCGCAGCAAGGAGGCCUCUGGUGCUGCUUUGGAGCCGCAGUGCAUGGGCACCUCGAACUGCACCGCUACGUGUCCCCACGUUUCCAGCUCAGAGGAAGCUUGGUUAG
rnacentral:lncRNA from 1 species